UACGUAGGUGGCAAGCGUUGUCCGGAAUUAUUGGGCGUAAAGCGCGCGCAGGCGGUCCUUUAAGUCUGAUGUGAAAAGCCCACGGCUCAACCGUGGAAGGUCAUUGGAAACUGGAGGACUUGAGUACAGAAGAGGAAAGCGGAAUUCCACGUGUAGCGGUGAAAUGCGUAGAGAUGUGGAGGAACACCAGUGGCGAAGGCGGCUUUCUGGUCUGUAACUGACGCUGAGGCGCGAAAAGCGUGGGGAGCAAACAGG
rnacentral:rRNA from 1 species